rnacentral:rRNA from 1 species
UACGAAGGGGGCUAGCGUUGCUCGGAAUCACUGGGCGUAAAGCGCACGUAGGCGGAUUGUUAAGUCAGGGGUGAAAUCCUGGAGCUCAACUCCAGAACUGCCUUUGAUACUGGCGAUCUCGAGUCCGGGAGAGGUGAGUGGAACUGCGAGUGCAGAGGUGAAAUUCGUAGAUAUUCGCAAGAACACCAGUGGCGAAGGCGGCUCACUGGCCCGGUACUGACGCUGAGGUGCGAAAGCGUGGGGAGCAAACAGG